AGUGAACGCUGGCGGUAGGCCUAACACAUGCAAGUCGAACGGCAGCACAGUAAGAGCUUGCUCUUACGGGUGGCGAGUGGCGGACGGGUGAGGAAUACAUCGGAAUCUACUUUUUCGUGGGGGAUAACGUAGGGAAACUUACGCUAAUACCGCAUACGACCUACGGGUGAAAGCAGGGGAUCUUCGGACCUUGCGCGAUUGAAUGAGCCGAUGUCGGAUUAGCUAGUUGGCGGGGUAAAGGCCCACCAAGGCGACGAUCCGUAGCUGGUCUGAGAGGAUGAUCAGCCACACUGGAACUGAGACACGGUCCAGUCUCCUACGGGAGGCAGCAGUGGGGAAUAUUGGACAAAGGGCGCAAGCCUGAUCCAGCCAUACCGCGUGGGUGAAGAAGGCCUUCGGGUUGUAAAGCCCUUUUGUUGGGAAAGAAAAGCAGCAGGUUAAUACCCCGCUGUUCUGACGGUACCCAAAGAAUAAGCACCGGCUAACUUCGUG
rnacentral:rRNA from 1 species